AGUGAACGCUGGCGGUAGGCCUAACACAUGCAAGUCGAACGGCAGCACAGUAAGAGCUUGCUCUUACGGGUGGCGAGUGGCGGACGGGUGAGGAAUACAUCGGAAUCUACUUUUUCGUGGGGGAUAACGUAGGGAAACUUACGCUAAUACCGCAUACGACCUACGGGUGAAAGCAGGGGAUCUUCGGACCUUGCGCGAUUGAAUGAGCCGAUGUCGGAUUAGCUAGUUGGCGGGGUAAAGGCCCACCAAGGCGACGAUCCGUAGCUGGUCUGAGAGGAUGAUCAGCCACACUGGAAGUGAGACACGGUCCAGACUCCUACGGGAGGCAGCAGUGGGGAAUAUUGGACAAUGGGGGCAAGCCUGAUCCAGCCAUACCGCGUGGGUGAAGAAGGCCUUCGGGUUGUAAAGCCCUUUUGUUGGGAAAGAAAAGCAGCAGGUUAAUACCCCGCUGUUCUGACGGUACCCAAAGAAUAAGCACCGGCUAACUUCGUG
rnacentral:rRNA from 1 species